GCCUGGCUGGCUCAGUCAGCAGAGCACAAGACUCUUGAUCUCAGGGUUGUGAGUUCAAGCCCCAUGUUGGGUG
rnacentral:tRNA from 1 species